rfam:Streptomyces autolyticus strain CGMCC0516, complete genome.
CUUCACCGAGCCCAGCACCACCGGCCGGUCGGCGGGCCGGUCCCUGCCGUACGUGGCGAGCAGGGCCUGCGCCUC